CCCUUAGAUGUUCUGGGCAGCACACGCGCUACACUGAAGGAGGCAGCGUGUACUCCUGGAUCGAAAGAUUUGGGUAACCCGCGAAUCUCCUUCGUGCUAGGGAUUGAGGUUUGCAAUUAUCCUUCAUGAACGAGGAAUUCCCAGUAAGUGCAAGUCAUAAGCUUGCGCUGACUACGUCCCUGCCCUUUGUACACACCGCCCGUCGCUACUACCGAUUGAAUGAUUUAGUGAGGACUUCGGACUGGGACCGAUGCGGCUUUCGGGCUGCGUCGGUAUUCUGGAAAGAUGUCCAAACUGUAUCAUUUAGAGGAAGUAAAAGUCGUAACA
rnacentral:rRNA from 1 species